GACGAACGCUGGCGGCGUGCUUAACACAUGCAAGUCGAACGGAAAGGCCCUGCAUUUGUGGGGUGCUCGAGUGGCGAAAGGGUGAGUAACACGUGAGUAACCUGCCCUUGACUUUGGGAUAACUUCAGGAAACUGGGGCUAAUACCGGAUAGGAGCUCCUGCUGCAUGGUGGGGGUUGGAAAGUUUCGGCGGUUGGGGAUGGACUCGCGGCUUAUCAGCUUGUUGGUGGGGUAGUGGCUUACCAAGGCUUUGACGGGUAGCCGGCCUGAGAGGGUGACCGGCCACAUUGGGACUGAGAUACGGCCCAGACUCCUACGGGAGGCAGCAGUGGGGAAUAUUGCACAAUGGGCGGAAGCCUGAUGCAGCAACGCCGCGUGCGGGAUGACUGCCUUCGGGUUGUAAACCGCUUUCGCCUGUGACGAAGCGUGAGUGACGGUAAUGGGUAAAGAAGCACCGGCUAACUACGUG
rnacentral:rRNA from 1 species